AAACCAACAGGGAUUGCCUCAGUAGCGGCGAGUGAAGCGGCAAGAGCUCAGAUUUGAAAUCUCACCUAGUGUGCGAGUUGUAAAUUGCAGGUUGGAGUCUCGGGUUAGACGUGUGUGCAAGUCCCUUGGAACAGGGUGCCACUGAGGGUGAGAGCCCCGUAUCGUGCAUGUCGACACCUGUGAGGCCCUUCUGACGAGUCGAGUUGUUUGGGAAUGCAGCUCUAAGUGGGUGGUAAAUUCCAUCUAAGGCUAAAUAUUGGCGAGAGACCGAUAGCGAACAAGUACUGUGAAGGAAAGAUGAAAAGCACUUUGAAAAGAGAGUGAAACAGCACGUGAAAUUGUUGAAAGGGAAGGGUAUUGGGCUCGACAUGGGAUUUACGCAUCGUUGCCUCUCGUGGGCGGCGCUCUGGGUUUUUCCUGGGCCAGCAUCGGUUUUCGUUGCAGGAUAAGGACAAUUGGAAUGUGGCUCCUCGGAGUGUUAUAGCCUUUUGUAGAUGCUGCGUAUGGGGACCGAGGGCUGCGGCGGACUCGUUUCGUCUCGGAUGCUGGCACAACGGCGCAAUAC
rnacentral:rRNA from 1 species